rnacentral:rRNA from 1 species
AGCGAACGCUGGCGGCAGGCUUAACACAUGCAAGUCGAACGCCCCGCAAGGGGAGUGGCAGACGGGUGAGGAACACGUGGGAACGUACCCUUCGGUUCGGAAUAACUCAGGGAAACUUGUGCUAAUACCGGAUACGUCCGAAAGGAGAAAGAUUUAUCGCCGAAGGAUCGGCCCGCGUCUGAUUAGCUUGUUGGUGAGGUAACGGCUCACCAAGGCGACGAUCAGUAGCUGGUCUGAGAGGAUGAUCAGCCACACUGGGACUGAGACACGGCCCAGACUCCUACGGGAGGCAGCAGUGGGGAAUAUUGGACAAUGGGGGCAACCCUGAUCCAGCCAUGCCGCGUGAGUGAUGAAGGCCUUAGGGUUGUAAAGCUCUUUUGUCCGGGAAGAUAAUGACGGUACCGGAAGAAUAAGCCCCGGCUAACUUCGUGCCAGCAGCAGCCGCGGUAA